UACGGAGGGUGCAAGCGUUAUCCGGAUUCACUGGGUUUAAAGGGUGCGUAGGUGGGUUGGUAAGUCAGUGGUGAAAUCCCCGAGCUUAACUCGGGAACUGCCAUUGAUACUAUUAAUCUUGAAUACCGUGGAGGUCAGCGGAAUAUGUCAUGUAGCGGUGAAAUGCUUAGAUAUGACAUAGAACACCAAUUGCGAAGGCAGCUGGCUACACGAAUAUUGACACUGAGGCACGAAAGCGUGGGGAUCAAACAGG
rnacentral:rRNA from 1 species